GUAACACGUAAACAACCUGCCUUCAGGAUGGGGACAACAGACGGAAACGACUGCUAAUACCGAAUAAGUUCCAAGAGCCGCAUGGCCCAUGGAAGAAAAGGUGGCCUCUACCUGUAAGCUAUCGCCUGAAGAGGGGUUUGCGUCUGAUUAGCUGGUUGGAGGGGUAACGGCCCACCAAGGCGGCGAUCAGUAGCCGGUCUGGAGAGGAUGAACGGCCCACACUGGAACUGAGACACGGUCCAGACUCCUACGGGAGGCAGCAUG
rnacentral:rRNA from 1 species